AAUGGGGGAAACCCUGACGCAGCAACGCCGCGUGAGUGAGGAAGGUCUUCGGGUCGUAAAGCUCUGUCAGGCGGGAAGAAAUGCAUGGAGGUGAACAGCCGCCAUGCUUGACGGUACCGCCAGAGGAAGCACCGGCUAACUCCGUGCCAGCAGCCGCGGUAAUACGGGGGGUGCAAGCGUUGUUCGGAAUCAUUGGGCGUAAAGAGCGUGUAGGCGGCUUGGUAAGUCAGAUGUGAAAGCCCUGGGCUCAACCCGGGAAGUGCAUUUGAAACUGCCAGGCUCGAGUAGGGGAGAGGGAAGUGGAAUUCCUGGUGUAGAGGUGAAAUUCGUAGAUAUCAGGAGGAACACCGGUGGCGAAGGCGACUUCCUGGCCCUAUACUGACGCUGAGACGCGAGAGCGUGGGUAGCAAA
rnacentral:rRNA from 1 species